GACGAACGCUGGCGGCGUGCUUAACACAUGCAAGUCGAACGGAAAGGCCCUGCUUUUGUGGGGUGCUCGAGUGGCGAACGGGUGAGUAACACGUGAGUAACCUGCCCUUGACUUUGGGAUAACUUCAGGAAACUGGGGCUAAUACCGGAUAGGAGCUCCUGCUGCAUGGUGGGGGUUGGAAAGUUUCGGCGGUUGGGGAUGGACUCGCGGCUUAUCAGCUUGUUGGUGGGGUAGUGGCUUACCAAGGCUUUGACGGGUAGCCGGCCUGAGAGGGUGACCGGCCACAUGGGGACUGAGAUACGGCCCAGACUCCUACGGGAGGCAGCAGUGGGGAAUAUUGCACAAUGGGCGGAAGCCUGAUGCAGCAACGCCGCGUGCGGGAUGACGGCCUUCGGGUGGUAAACCGCUUUCGCCUGUGACGAAGCGUGAGUGGCGGUAAUGGGUAAAGAAGCACCGGCGAACUACGU
rnacentral:rRNA from 1 species